CCUACGGGUGGCAGCAGUGGGGGAUAUUGCACAAUGGGGGAAACCCUGAUGCAGCGACGCCGCGUGGGCGAAGAAGUAUUUCGGGAUGUAAAGCCCGAUCAGCAGGGAAGAAGAAAGGACGGUACCUGAGUAAGAAGCACCGGCUAAAUACGGGCCAGCAGCCGCGGUAAUACGGAUGGGGCAAGCGUUAUCCGGAUUUACUGGGUGUCAAGGGAGCGCAGGCGGGACGGCAAGCCUGAUGGGAAAGCCCGCGGCCCAACCGCGGGACGGCAUUGGGAACUCCCGGGCUGGAGUGCCGGAGAGGUCGGCGGAAUUCCUAGUGUAGCGGUGCACUGCGUAGCUCUUCGGCGG
rnacentral:rRNA from 1 species